rnacentral:rRNA from 1 species
GUUAGUGGCGGACGGGUGAGUAACACGUGGGCACCUGCCUGUAAGUUGGGGAUAACUCCGGGAAACCGGGGCUAAUACCGAAUGAUAAAGUGUGGCGCAUGCCACGCUUUUGAAAGAUGGUUUCGGCUAUCGCUUACAGAUGGGCCCGCGGUGCAUUAGCUAGUUGGUAGGGUAAUGGCCUACCAGGGCAACGAUGCAUAGCCGACCUGAGAGGGUGAUCGGCCAAACUGGGACUGAGACACGGCCCACACUAAUACGGGAGGCAGCAGUAGGGAAUCUUCCGCAAUGGACGAAAGUCUGACGGAGCAACGCCGCGUGUAUGAAGAAGGUUUUCGGAUCGUAAAGUACUGUUGUUAGAGAAGAACAAGGAUAAGAGUAACUGCUUGUCCCUUGACGGUAUCUAACCAGAAAGCCACGGCUAACUACGUGCCAGCAGCCGCGGUAAUACGUAGGUGGCAAGCGUUGUCCGGAUUUAUUGGGCGUAAAGCGCGCGCAGGCGGUCUUUUAAGUCUGAUGUGAAAGCCCCCGGCUUAACCGGGGAGGGUCAUUGGAAACUGGAAGACUGGAGUGCAGAAGAGGAGAGUGGAAUUCCACGUGUAGCGGUGAAAUGCGUAGAUAUGUGGAGGAACACCAGUGGCGAAGGCGACUCUCUGGUCUGUAACUGACGCUGAGGCGC